rnacentral:snoRNA from 1 species
AGGGAUGAUGAAAAAUCCGACAAACCUAGGAAUUCCUCUUUCCGAAUACAUCAUGUCGAUUUGUUUAGUUUCAGCCUUGUCUGACC